UACAGAGGUCUCAAACGUUGUUCGGAUUCAUUGGGCGUAAAGGGUGCGUAGGCGGCGCGGUAAGUCGGGUGUGAAAUCUCGGGGCUUAACUCCGAAACUGCAUUCGAUACUGCCGUGCUUGAGGACUGGAGAGGAGACUGGAAUUUACGGUGUAGCGGUGAACUGCGUAGAUAUCGUAAGGAAGACCAGUGGCGAAGGCGGGUCUCUGGACAGUUCCUGACGCUGAGGCACGAAGGCCAGGGGAGCAAACGGG
rnacentral:rRNA from 1 species